CGCAGUAUAGCAUAGUAGUAAGGGGCAGGGCUUGUAACCGAGAGGUUGUGGGUUCAAUUCCCCCUUUAGGGC